AGUGAACGCUGGCGGUAGGCCUAACACAUGCAAGUCGAACGGCAGCACAGUAAGAGCUUGCUCUUACGGGUGGCGAGUGGCGGACGGGUGAGGAAUACAUCGGAAUCUACUUUUUCGUGGGGGAUAACGUAGGGAAACUUACGCUAAUACCGCAUACGACCUACGGGUGAAAGCAGGGGAUCUUCGGACCUUGCGCGAUUGAAUGAGCCGAUGUCGGAUUAGCUAGUUGGCGGGGUAAAGGCCCACCAAGGCGACGAUCCGUAGCUGGUCUGAGAGGAUGAUCAGACACACUGGAACUGAGACACGGUCCAGACUCCUACGGGAGGCAGCAGUGGGGAAUAUUGGACAAUGGGCGCAAGCCUGAUCCAGCCAUACCGCGUGGGUGAAGAAGGCCUUCGGGUUGUAAAGCCCUUUUGUUGGGAAAGAAAAGCAGCAGGUUAAUACCCCGCUGUUAUGACGGUACCCAAAGAGUAAGCACCGGCUAACUUCGUG
rnacentral:rRNA from 1 species